UGGGGAAUUUUGGACAAUGGGCGCAAGCCUGAUCCAGCCAUGCCGCGUGCAGGAUGAAGGCCCUCGGGUUGUAAACUGCUUUUGUACGGAACGAAAAGCCUCUUUCUAAUAAAGAGGGGUGAUGACGGUACCGUAAGAAUAAGCACCGGCUAACUACGUGCCAGCAGCCGCGGUAAUACGGAGGGUGCAAGCGUUAUCCGGAAUCACUGGGCGUAAAGGGCGCGUAGGCGGUCUGUUAAGUCCGAUGUUAAAUCCCGGGGCUCAACCCCGGAUAAGCGUUGGAUACUGGCAGGCUAGACGGUUGGAGAGGCGAGUGGAAUUACCAGUGUAGCGGUGGAAUGCGUAGAUACUGGUUGGAACACCCAUUGCGAAGGCAGCUCGCUGGACAACACGUGACGCUGAGGCGCGAAAGUGUGGGGAGCAAACC
rnacentral:rRNA from 1 species